rnacentral:rRNA from 1 species
GAUGAACGCUGGCGGCGUGCCUAAUACAUGCAAGUCGAGCGAACAGACGAGGAGCUUGCUCCUCUGACGUUAGCGGCGGACGGGUGAGUAACACGUGGAUAACCUACCUAUAAGACUGGGAUAACUUCGGGAAACCGGAGCUAAUACCGGAUAAUAUAUUGAACCGCAGGGUUCAAUAGUGAAAGACGGUUUUGCUGUCACUUAUAGAUGGAUCCGCGCCGCAUUAGCUAGUUGGUAAGGUAACGGCUUACCAAGGCAACGAUGCGUAGCCGACCUGAGAGGGGGAUCGGCCACACUGGAACGGAGACACGGUCCAGACUCCUACGAGAGGCAGCAGUAGGGAAUCGGACGCAAUGGGCGAAAGCCUGACGGAGCAACGCCGCGUGAGUGAUGAAGGUCUUCGGAUCGUAAAACUCUGUUAUUAGGGAAGAACAAAUGUGUAAGUAACUAUGCACGUCUUGACGGUAACUAAUCAGAAAGCCACGGCUAACUACGUG